AAAGGGUCCGUAGGCGGACUCGUAAGUCAGUGGUGAAAUCUCAUAGCUUAACUAUGAAACUGCCAUUGAUACUGCGGGUCUUGAGUAAAGUAGAAGUGGCUGGAAUAAGUAGUGUAGCGGUGAAAUGCAUAGAUAUUACUUAGAACACCAAUUGCGAAGGCAGGUCACUAUGUUUUAACUGACGCUGAUGGACGAAAGCGUGGGGAGCGAACAGGAUUAGAUACCCUUGU
rnacentral:rRNA from 1 species